UUAAUUAAAUUAAUUUCCCCAAAAUUUUAUUACUAUUUUUAUUUUUUUCAAGACCAUGCCACGGAAUUAAUAAUUCAGCUCCAUGCCUCCAAUUACAUCUUACAGUCAUAUAAUUUUUCAUCAUCGGGUUUCCCACGGCCUCAAUGCACAUACUCAUCACAAAAUAAGGGUCUACAGUAUGAUAGAGGUGUGGAUUCAAAUGCCAAGAGUUUACAUUGUGCUAGUGCACAUUCUUCUUAAACAAUACAGCAGCUAGUUGCCAUGAUCCUUCACCGAUGUUUAUCUACUUGUAGUACAUUCUUAUGUAAAUUUUCCUCUUAAUUAUAGAACAAUGCUAGUUCCCUGGUACUAGAACGGCUUAUUUUACCAGUUACAACAUUUUCCAUCAUAUGGGGGUUUUUAUGCUUCUUUGUGCCUGUUUGGCAUUGCAUUUGGAGGGCCAAAACUGUUUUUCUGAACAAAAGCACCAUUUUAG
rnacentral:misc_RNA from 1 species